UAUGAAUAAGCACCGGCUAACUCCGUGCCAGCAGCCGCGGUAAUACGGAGGGUGCAAGCGUUGUCCGGAUUUAUUGGGUUUAAAGGGUGCGUAGGCGGAUCUUUAAGUCAGUGGUGAAAUCCUGCAGCUUAACUGUAGAACUGCCAUUGAUACUGUAAGUCUUGAAUUCGGUCGAAGUGGGCGGAAUAUGUCAUGUAGCGGUGAAAUGCUUAGAUAUGACAUAGAACACCGAUAGCGAAGGCAGCUCACUAGGCCUGGAUUGACGCUCAGGGACGAAAGCGUGGGGAGCGAACAGGAUUAGAUACCCUGGUAGUCCACGCCGUAAACGAUGGAUACUAGCUGUGCGGA
rnacentral:rRNA from 14 species